rnacentral:rRNA from 1 species
AACGAACGCUGGCGGCAGGCCUAACACAUGCAAGUCGAGCGAGAUCUCCGGGUCUAGCGGCGGACGGGUGAGUAACGCGUGGGAAUAUGCCUCUUGGUACGGAAUAGCCUCGGGAAACUGGGAGUAAUACCGUAUGUGCCCUUUGGGGGAAAGAUUUAUCGCCAAGAGAUUAGCCCGCGUUGGAUUAGGUAGUUGGUGGGGUAAUGGCCUACCAAGCCGACGAUCCAUAGCUGGUUUGAGAGGAUGAUCAGCCACACUGGGACUGAGACACGGCCCAGACUCCUACGGGAGGCAGCAGUGGGGAAUCUUAGACAAUGGGGGCAACCCUGAUCUAGCCAUGCCGCGUGAGUGAUGAAGGCCUUAGGGUUGUAAAGCUCUUUCAGCUGGGAAGAUAAUGACGGUACCAGCAGAAGAAGCCCCGGCUAACUCCGUG